CGGGUGAGUAACGCGUGGAGAACCUGCCGUAUACUGGGGGAUAACACUUAGAAAUAGGUGCUAAUACCGCAUAAGCGCACAGCUUCGCAUGAAGCAGUGUGAAAAACUCCGGUGGUAUACGAUGGAUCCGCGUCUGAUUAGCUUGUUGGCGGGGUAAAGGCCCACCAAGGCGACGAUCAGUAGCCGGCCUGAGAGGGUGAACGGCCACAUUGGGACUGAGACACGGCCCAAACUCCUACGGGAGGCAGCAG
rnacentral:rRNA from 1 species